rnacentral:rRNA from 1 species
AAAUGGGGAAGAUUCAUCGUCAACGAGGCUGGCUUCGCGAUGGCUCGUGAUGUCCCCCGGUGCUUAACCGUUCCGGGGCACGCGGUCGUCACGGUGCGUCCGGUCGCGUCGGCGUGCACUUCUCCCCUAGUAGAACGUCGCGACCCGUUGGGUGCCGGUCUUUCGGCCCGGGUGGAUGACUGUCUCAUCGUCGCAAGGCGUGUGCGGCAGACCCCCGUGCGCCUAGAGUUACCCGGCUGCCCGGCGGUACGCUCAUGGUAUCGGGCCGCAAUUAUCGAACUGCGUCGGGCCCAUCUCGCCCGCCUCCUCGGAUCUCGGUGGUACCGUCCCAACGGUGCGCUUCGAAUAUCCGGCUGGCGCAUUCAAGGCGAGGGGUGACCUCCGACUGGCCAUUGAAAAAUUUGACGAUACCGGUCGGCGACGCUACUGCUUUGGGUAAUCUCAGGACCCGUCUUGAAACACGGACCAAGGAGUCUAACAUGUGCGCGAGUCAUUGGGACAGCGAAGCCUAAAGGCGAAAUGAAAGUGAAGGGCGGCCCUAGCGCCGA